rnacentral:lncRNA from 1 species
CAACAACACCACACAGAAAAAAACCCCAAAACCAAAACCCAAAAGCCUGCAGGUGCCAGGAACAUACUGGGGCUCUAGGAGAGAAGGCUUUCAUAACUCAGAAAAGGUGGCAAUUUUGCUGAGUACAACUGAGGACAUCUCAGCUGGAGACCUAGGGCUGGGUGCACAUCCCAAGCUGUUGUGCAGCCAACAAAGGUGAACGUUGUGCAUGCUUAUUUCCUGUCUUUCCCCCUCCUCUGUCUGCAGAAGAGAAUUCUGGCCUGACCCCUGCAGUUUCUUCCCACCCUCAAAGGAGAGUCCUUGAUCAGCCAUAACAUUCUUGGGCUUUUGUGAAUGUGAAUCGGGGAGAAACUGGAAGUGAGGUGAAGAAAGAGGAUUGAAAGUGCUACAGGUUGUACCCACCGGGCCUUCUAUUCUCAAAUCAGAGAUAAGACCUGCUUCCUAUCUGUUGCAGCAAGGCUGCUCUUCAGUUGUUACAUGGAGUCGAACCAGAGGCUACAGGAGCCAUCACAAGUGGGUAACAGAAGUUAUUUGACCAUUGAUGAAGAGAACUCUGCACUGAAUGCCUGUACACCCCAGUAACAGAUCAAUCCAGAGAGGGCUGAGCCUCCUCUUUGCCACUCACUGCUUCGAACAUUCAGAGAGAGCCUAGGAGAUAACAAAUGCUGCUAGGGCUCUCUCAGAAACACCAUCACUCCUGGGCGAACUGAAUCUCCCACAGAGAAAUCCUCACAUCUGUCCAUUCAUUCAUCUGUUCAUCCACUGCCAUCUACCAUCCACCCACCCACUCAUCCAUCCAUCCAUCCUCUGAUCCAACUAAUACAUAAAUAUGUAUUAGGUGACCUGUAACUUUGCCGUUAGAAAUGUUGAGACCAACUAAUUCCCCCUCAUCCUUGGUGAGUAAAAUCCAAGUGCCUCUGGAAUCCUGUUAUUUCUCUGUCUCAUCUCUAUAUUGCUUUGAGCUUCUUCUUUCCUUAAUCAGUCCUCUUCCCACUUCCACACACACAUCUGGAACAUCUGUUCUCUGGCUCCAUUGGUGAGAUAAGUCCCCAUCUAGCCUUUGCCUAAGCUAAGGAUCCCUUUACCGCUUGGUCUUCACUGACUUCCAGGUGGUCUUUUCCAAUGCCCUUUGUUCUUUUCACCUGCUCCCACCUCUGCCACCUAAAUUGGGGUUGGAAGGGAAAAUGAGCAUCUUUCUUGCUUUUUGAUGCCCUUCACGACAUUCCUCCUUUCUCUCAUGUAAAAAUUCCUGAUUAUUUUGGCUUGUAUAUUCCACUAGAGUCCUCUCUACUACUCCAAGCAAUUUUAAAACAAAAAGAGUAAGAUACUUUGAAUUUGAAGGACUUUGGGGUAGAAGACAGGGAACUG